rnacentral:lncRNA from 1 species
CAUAUUGCAGCCCAAGCCCAAUAAUUCAUUACCCAACUCAAAUCUUUAUUCAUUACCCAAUUUUUUAAGUUUAACAUUAAAUCACUCACAAAUCAUUUACUCUUUUCUUUCUCUCUCUUCAUCAAAGAAAAUUUAGAGAAUCUCUCUCCCCUCUGAAAACCCUAACCGCCAGCAUAUCUCACAACCUCCUUCAAUCUGUUUUAGACCUUGUUUGGUUGUUCAACCAUCAUCAUCUUCAUCCUCUCUUUCUCCUCUAUUCUUCUAUCGAAUUUAUUUUCAGAUUGGAGACAUUUUUUAAUAUCUUAACGGCCACCUUUUUGCUAGAUCUUGACCACCAUACACCAUUUUUGAAAAAACCAUCACCAUAUAAAGACACUCCUCCAUCUCCUCUACAAAACCCUUAAAGAAAAAAAAAGAUUGGAGCACUUCGUCAGUGACCACCGCGCCGGAAAAUACAAUCUUUGGCCGGAAAACACAUUGUCUCUGUUGUCUUCCUCUUCACUUCUUUCAUACAUGCAACAACAAUGACAACAACAACAACAAAAAAUCAGGGUUUGGAUAUCAAUUUAUUUUGUAUAUGCUGGAAAAUUUGUAUAUUUCUAUUUUCUUUUUAAUAAGGUAUAAUUAAUUUGUUUGAAGAAUAUUUCUUUGGAUUUGUUUAUAUUUUAUGUUUAGAUUUUUUUCCUUCUUUGAUUUAGAGAAGAUUAUAUUUGGAUUUUUUUUUUCAUGAAUAAGACAGAUUUGCACUCUCUAAAAACAAUAAAAGUGGCAGGUGAAUAUUUUGUGUUGUGUGGAUCUAUUAUAUUAAAUUAUUUUUUGUUUUUCAUCUUUGUAAAGUGUUUUUCUUCUGUCCUCUAUUUGUAGAGUGUUUUUCAUCUUUUGUGUUUUUCAUCUUUUGGAUCUAUUUCCCCCAUAUUUCACUACUCUAAAAUUAUUAUUUAUUUUGUAUUUGAUCUGCUAACUUGUCCUCCCUUUUUAGUUACUUUUUGCUGAUUCCGUUUUUCCUUCCCUUGUAAUUUUUUUUAUCUAAAUAAGUUGAUAAUUUAAUAUAAAAAAAUAACAUCAUUUUUUACAUCUUUGUUAAUUUAGUUUCACUUUAAAUUGUUGUUCUUUUUUUCUUUGCUGAGAAAUUGUUCUUUUUUCUAAUGUUGAUGUUUUCUCUGUAAAUAUAAGUUAAAUAAUUAAAACUUUUAAAAUAAAUAAGUUCAUGAAUGAGAAAGAUGUUAUUUUUCAAUUAGUUCUUUUUUGAGUUUGUUUGUUUGUUUUGGACAUAUUGUAUUAUUCUAUUUUUUUCAUGAAGAUGAAGUAACUAUAAAAUCUAAUCAAAAUGAAAAAUAAAAGUACAAUCUCAAAAAAAAAUUGUUCAUAAACUUUCUUUUAUAGAUCUGAAAAGUAAAAAUAAAAGUAAGAAAUAGCAAGAUAUGUCUAUGUAUGUUUUAUAUGUAACUAAUUCAUACAAAAACUUUUUUUAUAUGUAUGAUUUUUAGUAAAAAAUUACAUAACAACAACAAACAUUGUUUCUAUCUAUACAUUGUUUUAUACGUAACUAAUUCAUACAAAAAUCAUUCUUUAGUAAUUGAUAGAAGUGAUAUAUAUAUUAAUAAAAUUAUUUUUGUUAUAGUCAGUUUCAUAAUUAGUAGAAGUGAUAUACAUAUGAAUAAAAUUCAUCAUUAUUAACUUAAUAACUUACCCAUGUUCUUUGUAGUUGCUGAAGAGAGAUAAGCGAUGAAGAUAAAAAAAGUGGAGAAACAAAAAAAGAAGUUAGAUGAUGAAAAGUGACAUGAUAUUAUUUUUGAAGAAUUUGUAUUAAAGUUGAAUGUGAAAGUUUAUUUUUUUCAUACCUUAAUCUUGAUGUAACUUGCAUCUGGAAUGAAGUUUUUCAUCUUCUUGUUUGUUAGAUAGAGAUAAAUAUUUGUUUAUGCAAAAACACAACACAAUCAAGUUAAUAGAGAAAAUAUAAAAAGAAAAAAAAAGAUGAGAGAAAGAAAAAAUAAAAACAGAAAAAAGAAAGAUUGAAGAUGAGAGAAAGUGAUUUAAAUCUCAAAUGAGUAUAUAAUGAAAUGUAAGUUAAUAAAAGAGUGGGAAAACAUUGUGGAUUUGAAAUUUGAGUGAAAAGGUAAAAACAAUAAAGUAUAGAAAAAUGACUGAUGUGACAUAAAACAUUGCAACAUGUGAAACUAUUUUUUAUUUAUAAAAGUAAUAGGUUUGGUUGAUUUUCAAUUGUGGCUCAGUUGUGGCUGACUAAAAAAGUAGUUUUUGUCUCACAAAACAUGUCAAACGGCUCAGUUAGUUUAAAAAUGGCUUGGUUCAACACAAUUUAGUUCAGUUAGA